GAUGUACUCCCUCCGUUUAAAAUUAUUUGUCGCAGAAAUGAAUGUAUCUAGACGUAUUUUAAAUCUAGAUACAUCCAUUUUCGAGACAAGUAAUUCCGAACGGAGAAAGUAAUUU
rnacentral:pre_miRNA from 1 species